GGCCUCCUGGUGCUUACCACAGUCUGUGUUCUUACACUGCCUGUACAGGAGGAGGAGGAGGUAGAGUGAACCCACCCCAUGAACACCUCAGCGCAGGCCCUUUGCCUGGUCUGUAUUGUGAAUGGGGGGACACAG